GUCGAGAAUCUUCCGCAAUGCGCGAAAGCGUGACGGAGCGACACCGCGUGAUGGAUGAAGUCCUUCGGGGCGUAAACAUCUUUUAUAAAGGAGGAAAUUUUUGACGUUACUUUAUGAAUAAGGGGCUCCCAAUCUCGUGCCAGCAGGAGCGGUAAUACGAGAGCCUCAAGCGUUAUCCGGAAUCAUUGGGCGUAAAGGGUGCGUAGGUGGUUUGAUUAGUCUCCCGUUAAAACUUCGAGCUUAACUCGAAAAGAGCGGGGGAAACGGUCAAACGAGAGUAUGUGAGAGGUGUGUGGAACUCAUGGUGUAGGGGUGAAAUCCGUUGAUAUCAUGGGGAACACCAAAAGCGAAGGCAGCACACUGGCACAUCACUGACACUGAGGCACGAAACCUAAGGUAGCGAAUGGGAUUAGAAACCCCAGUAGUCC
rnacentral:rRNA from 1 species